AGCUACAGUGAGGGUGACUGCCUGGGCCAUUUUCCGUUUGGUACAAAGGAAGGCAUGGCACUCCAGGUUCUCAUUGAGCUGGUUCUGGGCAAUGUAGGCAAACACUUUAUCGUGGAUCUUGUCUGCCGUGCAGUAGGAUAUCCUGUAUAUGGAGACGUUCUCAAUCAGCUCGUUAGUUCCACUGUCAUUUAGCACAAUCCCUCUGGGCGAGACUUUCAGCGUAACUUUCUGCAGUUUCUUUCCACUUGCUUUUGCGGUGGCAACGAUCCUUUUGACAGCAGCUGCAGAGAGCUCCUCACCCUUCGGCUGCUCCACCAGCGUCAUGCCCAAGUACUUGAGGCUGAAGAGCACCCCUUCCAGCAGCGUCUCUCGGGUAUCGGUCCAGUUCUCCGGGAGCUUCUGGUGGCGGCCGCCGGCCCAGGGCGGUUUGGUGACGCUCGGGCUGCGCAGCAGAGCGCGUCCCGCCGAGCGCAGCGCGUCCAUUCCCGCGCGGGACUUCGGCAACUUCGCCGCGCCGCCGCCGCUCCGCGCGUCCGGGGGCGGGGCCUGAGGGAGAGGGACAGCACAGCGCGACGGCGUGACGUUGCGUUACGUAACGUGACGCAACGCGACGUAACGACGCAAACGGGACGUGGCCGCCCGCGGCCGUGAGGCGGUUGGAGGCGGAGGCGGCUCCGGGCCGUUCCGUCGGGCGCGGCGCUCAUCGGCGGCUCAGCCUCUUCCGCUGGGAUUUAUGGGAGCGGAUUCUCGGCCCUUUUUCCCCCCUUCCCACAGAGCCGCUGCAGACGGGAGCUUUUCUUUCAGUACUGAACCACGGCUGCAUACGUGGCUGCGCUCCGACGGUGACGGGCGCCGGCCCUGAGGUGAGGAGGUCUCACUGUGCCCGUACUGCUUCUUCCCACACACGUUGGCUGCAAAAGGUUCUGCGCGGGAUCUGCCAACGGCUGUGACCCCACAGGAGAAGGGAGGCGGCCAAAGCCAAACGCUGAAUGCGAACGGUGCCGAAGGAGGCAGCAAAACGGGGAGCAGCACAGCGAUGAGCGAUGCCAUUCCACGUUCUGCACGACGGUGGGAAACCUCCGGCAGUUCUGAGUAACGCUCCCACGGCGAGGAUUCCAAAGGACGAUCCAAAAAUGCGACUGCCAGCGACGCACAGACGUGGCUGAAGCUCCGAGCUCAGCCCGGAAGGAUUUAUCUGUGCUGGAAAGGAUGAAACUUCAAUACUUGACUGCCUUUUGCAUUCUGCCUUUUGCAUUUAUUAACGAGGGGCACCAAUUAGCAGGAAACCUCAGCAGAAGCCCUUUCAGAAGCUCUUUGUCUUUCCAGAGUCCGCUGCACGUUUGCAAAACCACAGCGCUGGGUUUAUUCUGCUCAUCCCAACGCAGUUUUGUUUCCCAUCCCUCCAACCCCCACCCCCAAAAUAACCUGCAGCCCUUUGGGAGUCAGCAGUGCAAACGUCUGUCCUACCAACCUACAUUGCACGUUUUAACUGAAACCUUUGUGCAAUUAAAAAAGCUCCUUAAAAACCUCCUUGGCACAACGGCUGGGGAAAUAAAAGAGUUGAACCUUUAAGUUUUCACACGUGAGGUGACAGGAAAAAAAAGGAUAAUAAUAAUAAUAAAAAAAAACAGAACCGCAGCUUUUAUUAGCCAGCUUUACAGUCUCUUGUAUACAGUACAUUGCACAGCUCCGCCUUCACAACAACGCUUCCUGGGUUAAUAUUGUGCCUUCCGUGAUGCUGUAUCAUCAAGGCAAGUUACAGAACACUGCUGAGUUUAUAUCGAAAUAAACAGAAGAUGUAACCUUGGUUUAUAAUGAACAUCCAAAUUACCAUGUACAAUUUGCAGCAGACUCUGUAAUGAGCUUGAUAUAAAGCUAGAUGACAGCGAAGGGGGGAAAAAUAGUUUAAACUAUCAAGUUUCCUCUUGAAAUGUCUUUUCCCAAGGCACUGUGAACAAGACUGUCGGCAGUUCUCAAUGACCAGAGACACCAAUGGGAGCAUAAAUAUUUCACACAACAACCACCGUCGCAUCCUCACCCAUUUCCUCCUCCUUUCCCUUAAGCAACGCCCUGACUUUGUUUGGUCCUUGGAGGGGGGACUCAAAUGAUCAUCCGUGAUAACCAUAUGUUUGUAUUGAACACAUCUAUCAAGCACAGCUUUGUCGGAUUGUUUAACCCUUUCGCUGUCAAAACAAAAGGUUUUUCCCUCACUGUUUCUCAACGAAUCUGAUUGGCAAAUUCAACUCGAUUGUUAAAAAAAAAAACAACAGGGAGAAGAAAGGGUUCAAAAUCAAGCAAAGCCCUGUAUUUUCAAGAGGAAACCAUGCACAAGUACAUAAGAAGGCAAAAUUGGCUACUUGAAAACCAAGAAUUGUUUUUAAUGCAUUGGCCAAGGAAAAUAAAUUGCAAAGUUCUGUGAGGUCUUCUAAAAAUUUACAAGAAAAACGGAUGGGCAGUUCUAGUCGAUCCAGAUGUUCUUUUUUUUUUUUUUUUUUCCUGUUUUUAAUGACAACAAAUAACAGUCUCACACAAUACAAUUUCAUCUUGGACUGCAAGAGACGCUCCUGUGUGAAGCCUUCGGCACGGCGACGUCACCGGGCAAAACCAGAGUUGGCAUUCAUUUCUUCAUGGGCUGAUAAACAGAGGCAUUGGGAUCAAGUCCGGAAGGGCUGGUCUCCACAAAUUUGGAAGAGUAAUGUGGGGAAACGGGGCUCAGCGUGCUGGUGGCUGCGGUGUACGUUAUGCUGGGCAUGACUGCCAUCACUUCGGCAAUCUUCUGUUUUAGCUCCUUGAUUUCCUGAUCUUUCUGAAUGAUUUGCCCUGAAAUGGCAAAGAGCGUCGCUGAGAAACAGCUGCACCUUCUCACCCUCCAGUGCUCGUUCUGUGAUCGGCUGCUGAAGCCAAACACCCUGAAGGGAUUCGGCUUUCUGAUAUCCUAACAGCAAAAGCAGACCCGGUGGAGCUGCCCCUCUGUGUCCGUGAGUUAUGUUUAAGGUACCACAUCACACCAUCACAUCUUCUAUUCGAUUUUGCACUGUUUGGAUCCACAACUGCACAGUGCCAAAAUGUGGUUUUUAUUCUGCCCUGUCCCGUUUGCAUUUCACAACCACCUCACGGGGGGUCAUUAAGUGCACUAUUUCCCUUAUUUUCAAAGCUGUCCGCACCAUUUUUCUACCCCCCCCCCCACUGUGCACACUCACCAACUCAUUACAGCAUUUGAUGUAAUUACAUAAAGAGCACGGAAAAAAAAGGUCCUCAUUCUAAGAAAACCUUCCUGCAAACGAACUCCUUCGAGGAAAUUCAAGAGCUACUCAACCAAGAGCUCACUUCCUUCUGCUCCAGGGCCUGCCCAGCUAACAGACAGCCCAGCAGGGUUAAAUGCUGCCUCCGUGCUCCCUCUGGUGGCACCCAAACACCGACACCUCCCUGCUUACCCACAGGGGGACUUUGGGGUUUUUUCCCCCCACAUUUUGGUUUAUUUGCUUCAGGAGAUUCGGGGAUGGGGAUAACAGACAGCACUACUAUCUUAUCUUAUCUUCUAGCUCUUUCAAAGAAGUUCUCCAGCUUUGAGGAAACCAUUUAUAACAAUGGAGAAAAUCCCAGGACGGGUUGUGUUGGGGGGGGACCCCGAGAUUCCCCAGCUCCAACCAUCCCCACCACUGGGUGUUACCUUGGGCAAUCUCAAGCUGCCGUUUCGCAUCUCCUAAUGCAGAGAAGAGAUCCAGCUUGAUCCGCGUCUCUGCGCUCAGGCUGUUCUCUAAGUGCUGUGUUUUAUCCUGCAUGGCUGACAGUGCUGACAUCAACACCUCCGUAUCCUUCUCAUUUUCCUUGUACUUCCGCAGUUCCUGAACUUUCAUUUCUAGCUCUCGUAUCUGAUCUUCUUUCAGCUUGAUGUCAAUGGUCAGCUUCUUGCACUCUGUCUCCAGCUCUCGGAUACGAUUCCGUAAAGUUUCGGUACAUUCUCCUCUUGUAGCAGCAGCAAACGCAACAGCACGUGCAGCGGUCGCUUCUUCCAACUUCUUUCUCUUUUUUUCUUCCAUUAAUUGCUUUUCUACAAAGGCUCUUGCCUCUUGCUCUGCCUUUAGUUUCUUCUCCAGCUGGCUGAUCAUUUGCUUGUCUUUUUGUUUCAUUUGUACAGCAUUGUGCAAUCUGGAAGGUAACAGGUAUGGGAUUUAGCACAGGUUUUCACUUACUACAACUAAACCACUGUCACUAUUCCCAAGCGAGUUUUGCUUUCUUACAAGCAAGCACGUUAUGCUUGGUAAAGUCUCAACACAUUAUUUCCCCCUCCAGCAAACUCCAGCCAUCAGCAAGCAACCCACACAGCUUUGCAGAGCACAUACUUGUUCUGGAGCAGUUCGUUUUCCUGCCGGAGCUGUCCGAUCUCAGACCGAAUUCCCCGCUCUGUGUUAGUCAAAGAACUGAUCUGGCUACGCAGCUCCUGCUCAAUCUGCCUGCUUGCUUGCAGGUCAGCCUUUAACUUUUUAAUGUCUUGUUCCAACCUAAGACAGACAAUUUUAAAAGACAGUGUUCAAUUUAAAAGGCUGUACUUUCCCACUACCCAAAGGUUCCAACGCAUCAGACUGGAAACUGAUGCCUCUCUUUGCUGUACCAUCUUUUAGGUAACUCUACAUACAGCUAUAUGUACAGCUGUGCACACACUUCAUAACCCUCACAGGAAGUCUGUUCCCCUCCAAGCACUGCAGCCCUGUGGAACACCUGAUGGAAUCACCUUCCCUCCAAGCAGAAAUGAAACUGAUAAGGCUGAGAAUCCCCCAGGGCUGGCAGGUGACCACACGAGCACAUUGUUGCUUUUCUCACCUAAUUCAGGCUGUUAGCGACGCACUGCACUCCUGAAUUCCUGCUAAACAUGGCUGGGUUUUUCCCUUGAAGUACAAGAUGUGAACAUGUUAUGUUAUCCAUAAUUCAGGGCUUGGUGAAUUUAGUUUCAAUUCCUCCUGAACUGAGAGAAUCCAGCAAGUCACACAACCUUAUUCAUUCAUAUAUCUUCAUCUUAAAUGGGUUAAAUAAAGACACCAGUUUGUAAUGAGAGGCCCCCAGCUCACCUCUGUGUUCCCCACACGUUUGAAAUAAGAUUGUUCUCUCUUAAAAUAAUGAAUUAAAAAUACAUCCUAUCUGUAUGCAUGGGUAGAAGAAAAAUCGUAGUGGGCAAACAGUGAUGGCACCAAGCAAAUGAAUGCUUCAUGUUGAGGACAAGAAGUUAUUUCAACACCCUGAGCUCCGUCGUGACAAUGGGACAGCAGGAAAGUGUCCUCCCUCUAUGAGUUAGGAAGCCAAUAACCCAUCACAACGUAAGGACCAAAUGUUUCCUGCCUGGUUUCUCUCAUUCAGAUAUCAGAUCUACCAAAAUUAGUGGUACUUCAUUAAAAAAAAACGUUCAUUUCCAUUAGAAAUAAUAAAGAAGUGCAGUUCUUGCAUUCCCUGGUGUGAGCUGUGUGCUCAUCUUCAGCCCCCAAAUGUUCUGCUGUAAAAAAGCAAGUCCAAGCUCUUCUGUGCAUACAGAGGCAACGCCAAUUUCUUUCAGCUUCUCAUUACUAGAAACACAGAUAUGCUUCUUCUUUUCUUAAGCACAGCUGCAUAUCAUUACUGACCUCAGUAACGAAGUAAAUGACUGAGCAGUCCCCUCCAAGAUGGAUCGUUUCCCUUAUUGCCUUGGGAAGGCAACGACAGCUCAGUCUGCUGCUUCCAGCUGUCCAUAACCCACUGAUGAUGUGUCCCUUCGGUUACACCUCCCCAUAAUCACCUGCCUACAAAAACUGAAGUUCUAUGUGACCCAAAGUGCUUUGCUAAGAGACCUGUUCUUUGUUUUGCUCUCUUGUGGCCCCAUCUGUUGGUGUGAGCCCUGCUGCCAAUGUAACAGCAUUGACAAUGUGACUGCAUUAACAGCGCUGCAGUUCUGCUGUGGGUGAUGUGCCAUUGCUAGCAGCUCCUCAGGGCACAAUCCAGGUGAAUGGACAUCAAGAUGUGACCUCUCCCAUCUUCGCAGCUCUGUUAAAGUGCUGUGGCCUGCAUUUAAACUGGUGUGUUAGCAGUGAUGCACACAGCAAGCUUGAGUUAUCGCUUCAAGGAGUCGUAGGGCAGCUGCCACUUUGCAUCCGUAGUUGUGAAUUAAAAACAAAAGCCAAACAUUCCAGGGGGAAAAAGAGAUCCCACCACCAAACGAGAAACCAAAACCUGCCCAGGUAACACCGAACCCCUCUGAAUUCCCUGCAGAUGUAAAGGUCACCCAGGAAUGUUUGCUAAGAACACACCGCUGAGCUCUGCAAUGAGCAUUCUCCACGUUUCCCUCAUUUCCCUCCAGUGACUGUCACAGCCAUCCACAAAGCCCCACAACACCCCUGUGAGGUCGGUGAGGACCUCGUCCUGAGGGACACAGCAAGCUGUUUGCUGAAGACUGUGUGGCCAAUGGGAGGCAAAAGUCAGGAAGAGAAGCCCAGCAGUCUGCCUCCUGCCUGCCUUACCCCAUUACAAGCCAGUUCUGUCCUCUUCACGAGACCAUGAAUUACAUUUCCCUUAGAAGACCAACUACAAAAAUACAGCCCAAACAUACCCAAUGCCUGGCACCACGAGAGGCCGUUAACACUGCAUUGCAAUGAAACUCACCUGACCAACGCAUCUGGUUUGCUGAGCUGGUUGUUGGGAAUACAGUUCUCCAUUAAGUCCUUAUGUGCGCUCGGGCUCUUGCUUGGACACUUCUGUUUCUUCUCAUUUUUAGUGGAUGCUGAAGGGAUGCUCCCAUUGGUCGCACUGUGACUGCGGGGGGAGGAGUUCACAACUCCACUGACAUUUUUGUAGUUUUUGGAUGAGGCAGUGCAUGAGUCCUCUUUUAAGAGGUUUUCUGUACUUCCUACGAGAUCGUUAUUUAAUCUUUUACUAUUGAUAUGGUUUUCCAUAUAUUCAAUUUCUUGUAUUUUAGAGUCUACAGGUUGCAAAAUGUUGUUAUUUAUCCCAAGGUUGUGUUUCUUAGCAUCCUUGUCCUUUUCUUUCCCUUUUUCUCUAUAUUCUAGCUCUGGCAACGUUGCAGAUAGUUUUUUAUUUGCUGGAAUGCCUCCAUUGUGCUGCAGAAGUAUCGAGGAAUCCAUCUCAGAUAAUCCUUUGGCUGCAACAGCAAAAUAAAGAAAAGAAAAUGAGUUUGUUCAAAUCAAUCAAUAUUACGACACGAAGAAAAAUGAUGGAGUCUACAACCAUCUCUUCUGCAGAAGGCAAUCAUUAAGAGUCCGCUUAGCAAAAAGAAAAGAAAGCCAAACCCAUGAAGAAAAAUAGGGGUGGCCAGCAGGGAGAGGGAGGCGAUCGUCCCCUUCUACUCGGCUCUUGUGAGGCCCCAUCUGCAGCACUGUGCCCAGGUCUGGGGCCCCCAACACAAAGACGUGGAGCUCUUGGAGAGGGUCCAAAGGAGGGCCACUAAGAUGAUCCGAGGGCUGGAGCACCUCUCCUGUGAGGAAAGGUUGAGGGAACCGGG
rnacentral:lncRNA from 1 species